rnacentral:rRNA from 1 species
UACGUAGGAAGCGAGCGUUGUCCGGAUUUACUGGGCGUAAAGGGCGUGUAGGCGGAGCGGCGCAUCCUGGAGUAAAUCUAUCGGCUCAACUGAUAGGCUUCUAGGAGAUGGCCGCCCUUGAGGACAGCCAGAGGAAAGUAGAAUUCCCGGUGUAGCGGUGAAAUGCGUAGAUAUCGGGAGGAAUACCAGUGGCGAAGGCGACUUUCUGGGCUGUUCCUGACGCUGAGGCGCGAAAGCCAGGGGAGCAAACGGG